UUAUAUAAUCUUCAAACGCUCAUCAACAAGCGUAAUCCCGUUAAAUCAGGAAGUGAUCACUCCAUAUCUUUUGAUGUAAACCCUAAUCGUCACAAACGGAUUUAGGCUUUACAAUUAUCGACCGCUACACCACCUCCACAAAAGUGUUCGAUUGAAAAGCAGAUAGAGAGAACGAUUGAAAUCUUCAGACUCAUCAUCAUUUUCAGGUCCGAUAGCUUCUCUUCCAUGUUUCAAUUCAAGCUUAAGAAAUCGAAGCUCGCCAAUCACUUUAGAGCUUGCUCCGCCAAUAGUGUGGAGACAUAUUCGGGGAGCCACUGAUGUUAUUGACAAAAUUGAUAUUGCCAUUGGGAAAUAUGUCAUUACACUGUCAUCUUCAUCAGAGGGGAGUAUUUUAAGAGCAUAGAACCUUCCUAAUGGGCAAAUGGUGUGGGAGUCUUUUCUAUUAGGCUCAAAGUCCUCCAAGGCAUUAUUAUUAAUUCCACAGGCCAAUUUGAAGCUUGAUCUGACAAUCCAAUUGUUGUUUAUGGUGGCACAUGUCUUUAUGCCAUUUCCAGCAUUGAUGGAGAGAUUCUUUGGAAGGACUACAUAAAUGAAGGGUUUGACCAAUUCACCAAUUCACCAAUUAUAUUAUCUUUUCUUGUUUCUUGAUUGUAGUAGCAGUUUUUUGAUAUAUUAUUUUCAUUUCAUUAAAAGCAUUGAUGUUCAUCAGAGGGCAGUAACGUAAUUCACGCUGUAGGAGUUUUCGAUUUAUCCGAGUUCAAUACAUAUGAGAUUGAUGUUAAGAAUGGAGGGGUACUGACACAUGUUAGAAAAUCAUUUCCUGGGCAUUUGUGGCGAUAUCUUAUCAAAUGGCAAGAGUUCAUCUACUAUACAAGUUUUGAACAUGAUGUAGAAUGGUAAUUGUAUAAGUUCUCAUUUGUAUUUUAUCAUUAUUGUAGUUUUCAGAAAUUGUUUUCAAAUAUAUUAUAAUACAGAAACAAUUUUAUAUUUUAAUUAAAAUAACAAUAAUUGUCUUAUAAACAAAA